AGGUUUUUUUCUUGGCUUUGUUGAUUUGUAUCGAAUUGGCUACUCCUCUUGAUUUGUUGAUUUGUAUUCUUUCUGCACUGGUGCUCUCCUAUUUCUUUGUGAUCUAUAUACAAUUGGAUGUUCAGUUUUGUGCACUGGUAAGAUGUCCUCCUCAUUGUUCUUUUCGGUACCAAUAUUUCUCUCUUUUCUUUUCACUGCAGUUCUUGAAUUGUAUCCUUCAUAAGAGUUGCUUAUGCCGGUAAUAUCUUCAUUGUCCUUCUUUACUUCUUCUGUAUUAGUUUCAUGCUUGUUCUGCAAAGUAUUGUUUGUUUUAAAAAUUAGUAACGUGUAGUAAAAAAUAUGAUAAUAUUUAAAUCGAAGAUGUUAUUUGUCAAGGUAAAGUAAAUUGAUAAACACGUGUUCAUAAGAUUACCUUAUUAUCCAAAGAUGCAUAUUGAUUGCGAUGUUCAAUUUCUGCUGGGAUUUUUAUUUUUUGCUCUUUCUUUCGUCCUUCAUCAGAGUUGCUUAUGCCGGUAAUACCUUCAUUGUCCUCCUUUACUUCUUCUGCAUUAGUUUCAUGCUUGUUCUGCGAAGUAUUGUUUGAUUUGAAAAAUAGUAACAUGUAGUAAAAAAUUGAUAAUAUUUAUAUCCAAGAUGUUAUUUUGUCAAGGUAAAGUAAAUUGAUAAACACAUGUUCAUAGGAUUACCUCAUUAUCCAAAGAUGCAUAUUGAUUGGGCUGUUCAAUUUUUGCUGGGUUUUUUAUUUUUUGCUCUUUCUUUCGUCCUUCAUCAGAGUUGCUUAUGCCGGUAAUACCUUCAUUGUCCUCCUUUACUUUUUCUGCAUUAGUUUCAUGCUUGUUCUGCAAAGUAUUGUUUGAUUUAAAAAAUAGUAACGUGCAGUAAAAAAUUGAUAAUAUUUAUAUCCAAGAUGUUAUUUUGUCAAGGUAAAGUAAAUUGAUAAACACAUGUUCAUAGAAUUACCUCAUUAUCCAAAGAUGCAUAUUGAUUGGGCUGUUCAAUUUCUGCUGGGUUUUUUACUUCCUUUGGGCUUCUUUUGUAAUUCACCUUUCUCUUUUUCAAUUUUCGUGGUUUCUUCUGCAUUGUUUCUUCAUCAAUGUCAUCUGUGUUAAUAUUGUUGUUCUUUGCAUCAUUUUGUCCCUUUUUUUGCUUCUUUUGUCUCUUUUGUAAAAUCUUCUCAUACUUAAUUUUCACAUUGUUAUUUUGGUCAUCCUUUAGCUCCUCUGAAUCAGUGGUCUGUCGUUCCUAAAAAAAUCGAUAAGUUGUUCAGUUCAUUAAACACAAUAAGAACAUAAAGCUUUGUUCACUCAAAUACCUGAUAAGUUGGAAUUUCUGCCUCUAUUACAACAUUUCUUCCUUUCUUUUUUCUAUAAGGAUAUUUGAUCUGUGAUGUUCGAUCACCAGUGUCCUUCCAUUUCCUCUUCUUCAGAUUAAUCUUUUUGCCUAAUCUUAUUCCAGUCUUUAUAGCUUAUUCUAAAAUAGCUUUCUGUUUGGCGAGAUUUUCAUCAAAUUCCAAGCCUUCAACUUCAGGAGUUCUCUUUCUGGAUUUUGCAACAACAAUUUUCUUCUUUUUGCUGCAAACUUUUGUAUCCUUUUCUUUUGGUCUACUUCUUUCUGUGUACUCUUCGUCUGAGUCAUCAUCUAAUAUGAUACAUCUACUUCUUGAUGAUGAAUUAUUUCUCUUACAUGCACUGAAAUGUAUGUUGCUUUCAUCCCUAUCUUCCAUAUCUUCUUUACAAUGCGCAGCAAAAUUUGAUGUAUCCAGUUCAUCAUGCAUCAAUUCCUGUCAGGAAGAAUCCAUAAAGAUAUAAAGAUAUUAAUCUAUAAUAUAAGAGAAUACUAUUACCUAAUUUAAGAAUAUAGGAAAUAUUCCUUACCUUCUUAUCUUUAUCAUUCAGGAAUUUUGUUUCAAGAUUUUCAUUAGGCACAAAUGUUCUUUUUACUAAAUAGCCUGCCUUCCCUUCAGUCAAGUUUUGGCUGCUCAACUUGAAUCGAAAGAUAAGUAUUUUUCCAUAUAGUUGUUGUAUAAUCUUGGGCACGUCUUCACAGUUUCCAUUAAGGGAAUCCAAUAAGUUUGAGAUAGAUGUGUUGAUCAUUCUUUGUGCUUCAUCAUCAAAUACAGUGCAUGUUGUAGUUGUUGUAGAGUCACUUAUUUGCAGUCGAAGAAAAUACCUAUUAUAGCACAUGUGUUACAACAAUGAAAAUAUAAUAUAACUAAAAAAUGUUAAUAAAGGCAGGUCCAACAUGUUUACCUAGGUGUUGUCUUGUUGGGAUAUUUGUCGCAGUUGUUACAAUAAUACUUCUCGUCUAUUUUAUCACACAUUUUGUUGCAAUACUUGCAUGACAUAUACCACCACCUAGCAUUUUCUUGUAUCUUAUCUAUCCUAGCUUUUGAUGUAAAUACAAAUUCCUACAAAUAAAAUAUAUGAAUGUUAGUACUGCAAAUAUAUAAGUUUAACCAAUUAAAGUUGAUAUACUUGGUCUGUUGGGUUGUCGUGUCUCAUUUCCGUGAUUUCCUGUAAUGUUCUUCUGUUGUAAAACAUUUGCUCCUCUAGUGUCCCUUGUGUACUUUUGUUUACCUCCAUUAUUUUUGGUAAAGUUUCAUCAUUUGAGUACCUGUACAGUACACGGUACUAAUACGUAAAAAUAAAUGGUUCAAAUAUGUAAUAAUUAUAAUAUGCAGGAAAAGAUUAAUAUUUCCAUAUUUCGAAAAUACAUAGAGAAUAUAUUGCAUACCUGUCAAUGAGUUGCCAAGUUUCUGGUAGAUCUAAAUCUAUAUAUAAUCUUGUAGCGCUAGUACUCUUCAAAGAAAGACCUGGUUGACUCAUUUAUAUGUUAUCUAUAUUUAUGACAAAUCAUCGUAAUAUAUUGUACAAUAUUUGAACUUACUUUUGAACAUUGAGGCUUCAACCAUAGUUGAUGUAACAAUAACAACUGUAUGCUUUCCAAUUACAUCUUCAUUUAGAUAAUGUGCUAGUUUCCCCCAUAAUGUUAUCCUGAUCUUUUCACCCCUGAAAUUUUGUGUUGUAUAGAGGAUGAACUUUAAAUGUAAAAACUGAAUGCGAGAAAAUAUUUUUUGGAUGUCCAUAAAUUUAAUGAAUAUGUUGUCUUACUCUAACAGGAGAACUUCAAUCUCGCGGAUAUCUUUAGUACGCUGACUUGACGUAUUCCUCAUUAUUGUCCUUUCUUGUACCGGUUUAAUACUGGAUCUUUAGGGGCAUUGUUUAAUCCCCAUAUAAUAACUGUAAAGCCUAAUGAGGUACUUCAAACUUACUUCUCUCAGGUGUGUUGGCAUCUAUUUUAUCACAGAAUCGUGAUCAUAAGAUGCUUCUUCAUCUACUAUUCAAACAUAUUCGUCUCCUAUUUAAUAACUGUGAAGCCUAAUGAGGUGCUUCAAACAUGCUUCUCUCAGGUGUCUUGGCAUUAACAAAAUACCAGAAUCGUAAUGCAGUACAAUAACAGGCAUGAAGGCAUAGGCAUGGAGCAUACCAGCGAGAAUUAUGUUUUUUGGUGAGUCCAGCCGAUUGAACUCCAAAAUCUGGGCGUGCGUCUGUCGAUCUGUUCUUUGGUGAAGCUAGCUGAUUGACCUCCAAUAUCUGGGCGUGCGUGUGUGGUUCUGGUAUUUGGUGAUGCCAGCCGAUUGAACUAAAAAAUCUGGGCGUGCGUGUGUUGUUCGCUGUGUGGUUCUGGUAUUUGGUGAUUCCAGCCGAUUAAAUCUGUCGUUCUGGUCUUUGGUGAGGACAGCCGAUUGAACUCCAAUAUCUGGGCGUGCGUGUGUGGUUCUGGUAUUAGGUGAUGCCAUAUUUAUUGUCAUGAUAAGCUAUUGAUAAGGAAUCUAUUAGGAUACGGAGAUGUCUAUCUAUUUUCUAA